CCCGCCCCGCGAGGAGGUCAUCGCCGGAAUGAAACUUCACAUAAACGUUAUAAUCCAUACCUCAAUCGACGGAGGGAACAGAUCGACGUCAUCGAGCCUAUACCCCAUUCCUCACACACUGAGCUAAGGAGAGCACAUCUCACUCGCCAGGAGUCACAGCCCCUUCAUCAAGACGACACACCGCUGUGCAUAGAUUUGGCAUCCAGCGACAGCUGCAGCAGCAGUGGCAGUGAGAGUGACACAGCAGGGCGGGCAGUGACCACUUCCGGCUCUCACAGGGAGGGGAGGAGGAGGACUCGUUCACCCGCUCACUCAACCCCCAAUUCCUCCCCCGGCCCCAUACCCCAAUCAAUCAGCGACAGCUAUGACAGCAACAGCAGCAGCAGUGGUGAGAAUCGUACCAUUUUCAUCUCAGACAGUGACUCAGACGACAGC